rnacentral:lncRNA from 1 species
CGCUCCAAUCUCCGUAACCUCAGCCCUUGACAACCUACCAUAGCUCGUCUGUAGUCGAGCUAAACUCUUCACUUCCAUAUUUCUCUCUCUCUCCCUCUCUCAAAUUAGGAAAGUCCAAAUAGAAUAGAAUUCUCCCACGAUCGAGUCUUGCAUAAAAGAAAAAUAUCUUAUCCAAAUUAAUCUAUACGACAAAUCCGAAAGCU